rnacentral:rRNA from 1 species
CCUACGGGGCGCAGCAGUGGGGAAUAUUGGGCAAUGGGCGCAAGCCUGGCCCAGCAACGCCGCGUGAAGGAAGAAGGCUUUCGGGUUGUAAACUUCUUUUCUCAGGGACGAAGCAAGUGACGGUACCUGAGGAAUAAGCCACGGCUAACUACGUGCCAGCAGCCGCGGUAAUACGUAGGUGGCAAGCGUUAUCCGGAUUUACUGGGUGUAAAGGGUGCGUAGGCGGUCCGGAAAGUCAGCGGUAAAAGCCCGGGGCUCAACCCCGGCGAGCCGUUGAAACUGUCGGACUAGAGACGGCGAGAAGU